GAGAAGAGCUGCUGCUGCUGCUGCUGCUGAAGAGCCUGCGCAUGGGUAGAAUGCAUAGGAGUUCCGAUGUGAAGAGCCUGGAACUGUUGAGCAGCAGCAGUAACGCUGGCAAGCUGCUGUUGAAGACGCUGCUGCUGAGCGGCGAGGUACAAAUUGGUAGAGACUAGCUCUGCAUAUAGGGCCUCAUCCAUGGGC
rnacentral:miRNA from 1 species